UCCACAGCAGGGGGCGGCGGAGCCAAGAUGGCCGAAUAGGAACAGCUCCAGUCUACAGCUCCCAGCGUGAGCGACACAGAAGAUGGGUGAUUUCUGCAUUUCCAUCUGAGGCAAAGCCCUCCUGUUCCCAGCCCCAAGUCGGUUAAACCCAUGUUAAAUCUAUAGGUUGAAGACCUGGAUCAUUCGAAGCCCAGAGCCUUGCACAGCAGCGAUCUGCUCCAACAGAGGGUGAUGUCAUCAUCCGAGGCCACACAAAUAAUGCAUUUCUCACCAUCAAAAAGCUUCUGAAGCCAUGUUCUCAAAGGCAAAAAAUAAAUAAAUAAAUAACCAAUUAACUACA